UCCGCGUUAGUAUAGUGGUUAGUAUUCAAGCCUGUCACGUUUGAGGCCCGGGUUCAAUUCCCGGACGCGGAG
rfam:Paramecium tetraurelia chromosome undetermined scaffold_6, whole genome shotgun sequence.